GUGGGGAAUAUUGGGCAAUGGGGGAAACCCUGACCCAGCAACGCCGCGUGAGGGAAGAAGGUCUUCGGAUUGUAAACCUUUGUCCUAUGGGACGAAAGAAAUGACGGUACCAUAGGAGGAAGCUCCGGCUAACUACGUGCCAGCAGCCGCGGUAAUACGUAGGGAGCAAGCGUUGUCCGGAAUUACUGGGCGUAAAGGGUGCGUAGGUGGUCAUGUAAGUCAGAUGUGAAAGACCGGGGCUUAACCCCGGGGUUGCAUUUGAAACUGUGUGACUUGAGUACAGGAGAGGGAAGUGGAAUUCCUAGUGUAGCGGUGAAAUGCGUAGAUAUUAGGAGGAACACCAGUGGCGAAGGCGACUUUCUGGACUGUAACUGACACUGAGGCACGAAAGCGUGGGGAGCAAACAGGAUUAGAAACCCGAGUAGUCC
rnacentral:rRNA from 1 species